rnacentral:lncRNA from 1 species
CUUCCCUUCCCAGGCCGCAGCUGUCCUUUGUGGGGCGUCCAGGGUUCGCCCACAUCCACCUCCGCGCUGGGCACCUGGUGGUGCUUACAUCGCGUUUGGUGAAACGCAUCCUCCAGCCAUGCUAUGCUUGCAAAGAUGUCUCUGGUCAUUGGGAAGGACGGCAGCUUGGGAAGGUGAGAUGCUGUUGGCGCUGGACAGAAAGGAUGAGGAGGGGGACAGUGCAGCUGGGGCGAAAACUUCAGGUCUGUGUUGGGGCCAGCGUGGGUGGGGAACUGUGGCACAGGGUCUCAUGGUUAUCAAGGAUCUCAUAGCCUGGGCAGUGUCUCACGCCUGUAAUCCCAGCACUUCAGGAAGCCAAGGCGUGCAGAUCGCCUGAGGCCAAGAGUCCGAGAACAACCUGGGCAACGUAACCUUCGUCUCUACAAAAAAUACAAAAAUUAGCUGGGCGCGCGCCUGCGGUCCCAGCUACUGGGGAGGCUGGGGUGGGAGGAUCGCUGGAGCCCAGGAGGUCGAGGCUGCAGUGAGUCAUGAUCAAGCCACGGCCCUUCAGCCUGGGUGACAGAGCGAGACUCCGUCCCAAAAGAAAAAAAAAAAAGGAUCUCAUGGUGAUCAGCUUCCAAGAUACAAAUGAACCCUCCCCAGGACAGGAUGCAUGUACUGCUAUUUCAGAGGAGUUGAGGCAGCUGCCAGGUCCCCUCCUGCGUGGAGAGGCAGAUGCCAAGUGACAGCUCAGGAACUAAACAGUGACCAAGCCCCAGCCCCUGUCCAUGCCCAGGCUGCGGUUGGCUUCUGUGGCUUGGUUUCCCUCUGUCCCCCCUUGAUAAGCUCGCCUGGAUGCCUUUGACCUAGCUGGCCGUUCUACCAGUCCUGCCCUGCCCCCUUUCUCUGUUUGACAAAUCAUAUUCCCCCUUCAAAGCACAGCUUAAAUGUCCCUGCUUUUCCCUUGAGUGCAGGAAUGUGGGUGUUGGGGGAGGUUGUGGUCUGUAUGGUGAGACCACUGUUCUGCGGGAGAGAAGUGCCACAUACGAUCUUGUUCCUAUCCCCUAAGGGACCCAGUGCAAUGCUUGGCAGAGGGUAGACAUCCAGUAAUAUUUGUUGAAUGAAUGAAUGAACUUACUAAGUUAACAUUACCACCCCUCAACUGUCUUGGUAUCCAUAAUCUUUGAGAAGUGAGUGAACCUUUUUUUAGAGAAGGGGUCUCACUCUGUCACCCAGGCUGGAGUGCAGUGGUGUGAUUACAGCUCACUGCAGCCUCAAACUCCCAGGCUCAAAUGAUCCUCCUGCCUCAGCCUCCAGAGUAGCUGGGACUACGGGCAUGCACCAUGCCCGGCUAAUUUUUUGUGUUUUUUAUAGAGAUGGGGUCUCAUUAUGUUGGGGUCCAGGCUGGUCUUAAACUCUUGGCUUCAGAUGAUCUUCCCACCUCAGCCUCCCAAAGUGCUGGGAUUACAGCUGUGAGCCACCGUGCCUGGCCUAAACAUUUUGACCUCAGUUUCCCCAUCUGUAAAUUGGGGAGAGUGUUUCAAUUCAGUUCAGCGAACAUGCAAUGCUGUAAUGAUGGAGGCUGGGCAUGGGGUCAGCCCUGAGGGGGUGCCCAGUUGGUGUGGAGAGCCAGACUUGGAGACUAAUAAGGGAGGAG